rnacentral:rRNA from 1 species
AUUGAACGCUGGCGGCAGGCCUAACACAUGCAAGUCGAGCGGAUGAAGGGAGAUUGCUCCUGGAUUCCUCGGCGGACGCGUGCGUAAUGCCAAGGACUCUGCCUGGUAGUGGGGGAUAACGUUAGGUAACGGGCACUAAUACCGCAUACGUAUAGCGGGAGAAAGCGGGGGAUCUUCGGACUCCACGCUAUCGGCUGCGCCUAGGUCGGAUUAGCUGGUGGGUGGGGUAAGGCUUACCAAGGCGACGAUCCGUAACUGGUCUGAGAGGAUGAUCAGUCACACUGGAACUGAGACACGGUCCAGACUCCUACGGGAGGCAGCAGUGGGGAAUAUUGGACAAUGGGCGAAAGCCUGAUCCAGCCAUGCCGCGUGUAUGAAGAAGGUCUUCGGAUUGUAAAGCACUUUAAGUUGGGAGGAAGGGCAGUAAGUUAAUACCUUGCUGUAUUGACGUUACCAGCAGAAGAAGCACCGGCUAACUCCGUG